ACGCUCGACACCUACGGGCAGCAGUGGGGAAUAUUGCACAAUGGGGGAAACCCUGAUGCAGCGACGCCGCGUGAGCGAAGAAGUAUUUCGGUAUGUAAAGCUCUAUCAGCAGGAAAGAAGAAAGACGGUACCUGACUAAGAAGCCCCGGCUAACUACGUGCCAACAGCCGCGGUAAUCUGAGCGGGCUGGCAAGGC
rnacentral:rRNA from 1 species